rnacentral:rRNA from 1 species
AAAUUGAAGAGUUUGAUCAUGGCUCAGAUUGAACGCUGGCGGCAGGCCUAACACAUGCAAGUCGAACGGUAACAGGAAGCAGCUUGCUGCUUUGCUGACGAGUGGCGGACGGGUGAGUAAUGUCUGGGAAACUGCCUGAUGGAGGGGGAUAACUACUGGAAACGGUGGCUAAUACCGCAUAACGUCGCAAGACCAAAGAGGGGGACCUUCGGGCCUCUUGCCAUCAGAUGUGCCCAGAUGGGAUUAGCUUGUUGGUGAGGUAACGGCUCACCAAGGCGACGAUCCCUAGCUGGUCUGAGAGGAUGACCAGCCACACUGGAACUGAGACACGGUCCAGACUCCUACGGGAGGCAGCAGUGGGGAAUAUUGCACAAUGGGCGCAAGCCUGAUGCAGCCAUGCCGCGUGUAUGAAGAAGGCCUUCGGGUUGUAAAGUACUUUCAGCGGGGAGGAAGGUGUUGUGGUUAAUAACCACAGCAAUUGACGUUACCCGCAGAAGAAGCACCGGCUAACUCCGUGCCAGCAGCCGCGGUAAUACGGAGGGUGCAAGCGUUAAUCGGAAUUACUGGGCGUAAAGCGCACGCAGGCGGUCUGUCAAGUCGGAUGUGAAAUCCCCGGGCUCAACCUGGGAACUGCAUUCGAAACUGGCAGGCUUGAGUCUUGUAGAGGGGGGUAGAAUUCCAGGUGUAGCGGUGAAAUGCGUAGAGAUCUGGAGGAAUACCGGUGGCGAAGGCGGCCCCCUGGACAAAGACUGACGCUCAGGUGCGAAAGCGUGGGGAGCAAACAGGAUUAGAUACCCUGGUAGUCCACGCCGUAAACGAUGUCUACUUGGAGGUUGUGCCCUUGAGGCGUGGCUUCCGGAGCUAACGCGUUAAGUAGACCGCCUGGGGAGUACGGCCGCAAGGUUAAAACUCAAAUGAAUUGACGGGGGCCCGCACAAGCGGUGGAGCAUGUGGUUUAAUUCGAUGCAACGCGAAGAACCUUACCUGGUCUUGACAUCCACAGAACUUUCCAGAGAUGGACUGGUGCCUUCGGGAACUGUGAGACAGGUGCUGCAUGGCUGUCGUCAGCUCGUGUUGUGAAAUGUUGGGUUAAGUCCCGCAACGAGCGCAACCCUUAUCCUUUGUUGCCAGCGGUCCGGCCGGGAACUCAAAGGAGACUGCCAGUGAUAAACUGGAGGAAGGUGGGGAUGACGUCAAGUCAUCAUGGCCCUUACGACCAGGGCUACACACGUGCUACAAUGGCGCAUACAAAGAGAAGCGACCUCGCGAGAGCAAGCGGACCUCAUAAAGUGCGUCGUAGUCCGGAUUGGAGUCUGCAACUCGACUCCAUGAAGUCGGAAUCGCUAGUAAUCGUGGAUCAGAAUGCCACGGUGAAUACGUUCCCGGGCCUUGUACACACCGCCCGUCACACCAUGGGAGUGGGUUGCAAAAGAAGUAGGUAGCUUAACCUUCGGGAGGGCGCUUACCACUUUGUGAUUCAUGACUGGGGUGAAGUCGUAACAAGGUAACCGUAGGGGAACCUGCGGUUGGAUCACCUCCUUACCUUCAAGAAGC